AACGAACGCUGGCGGCAUGCCUAACACAUGCAAGUCGAACGAGACCAUCGGAACUAGUGGCGCAUGGGUGUGUCACGCGUCGGAAGCUUCCCUUAGGUUUGGAAUACCUCUUCGACAGGGGUGCUAACACCGGAUAAUGUCUUCUGACCACAGAUUUAUCGUACUUGGAUGGGCACGCGUUGGAUUAGCUUGUUGGUAUGGUAAAAGCCUAUCACGGCGACGAUCCAUAGCUGGUUUGAGGGGCUGGGCAGCCACACUGGGACUAAGACACGGCCCAGACUCCUACGGGAGGCAGCAAUGGCGAAUAUAGGAAAAUGGGGUAAAGCCUGAACCAGCAAUGCCGGGUGAGUGAUGAAGUCCUGAGAGAAGAAAAGCUCUUUUACCCGGGAUGAUAAUGACAGUACCGGAAGAAUAAGCACCGGCUAACUCCGUG
rnacentral:rRNA from 1 species